AAUCAACGCUGGCGGCGUGCCUAACACAUGCAAGUCGAGCGCGAAAGCGGGGUAACUCGCAAGUAGAGCGGCGAACGGGUGAGUAACGCGUGGGUGAUCUACCUCCGAGUGGGGAAUAACACCGGGAAACUGGUGCUAAUACCGCAUGACAUCCUCGGAUCACACUGGGGAUCAAAGCCGGGGACCGCAAGGCCUGGCGCUUGGAGAGGAGCCCGCGUCCGAUUAGCUAGUUGGCGGGGUAACGGCCCACCAAGGCGACGAUCGGUAGCCGGCCUGAGAGGGCGGACGGCCACACUGGGACUGAGACACGGGCCCAGACUCCUACGGGAGGCAGCAGUGGGGAAUAUUGGACAAUGGGGGCAACCCUGAUCCAGCAAUGCCGCGUGUGUGAAGAAGGCCUGCGGGUUGUAAAGCACUUUCAGUCGGGAGGAGGAA
rnacentral:rRNA from 1 species